CACCAGAAAUAAACUUCCGCACCGACAAACCCGGCCCAUGAAACCGUGAUCUGUAUGAAACCGUCCAGGGUCCAAAUCGGUUCCGAACUCAAAUCAGGAAACUAAACUUCACGUCACAACAGGAAUGAAAAUCCACCUGCACAGGUGAUGAGGGCGGAGUUAUCUUCAUUAGGAAGCAGGUGAGAGUCAGUUUGGAUGAUCAGCAUCAGAGUUUAAAAGAUCAAAUUCAUUCUUAAAAGAUAAAUAAGUUUCUCUUUUCACGAACUCUUUGAUUUAAUUCUCUGUUUGUGAAGCCGGACUGGUUCCGGACGGGUCAGACUUUAACCGAACCUGCGGGUCUGAGAACAGCCACAUACACGCGCGCGCGUUGGACACUGACCUGGUGAGUGUGCGCCUCCUCCGUGCACGCGCUCCCUGCUCCCGCCUUACUUCCAUUCAGGUCCGAGUUUCUCAGAAAAGUUUUAUUUUGAAGUUUCAAACAGGAAGAGGGAAAUCCGGAAUUCUUUCUGCAGAAAACAUAAAAAAUCUUUUGUUUUGAUCUGAAGUCUGCGCGCGUGCGCGCGGGCCGCUCCGGUUCAUGUUCAGAUUCCGUUAAUCCUCCGCGUGUCCAGAAAUGAUCCCAAAUCCUGACAGGCUGAGCGCGCGCGCGAGCGCACGGGCGGGGGGUUCGGGCGGGGCGGGGCGGGGCUACAGGUCGGUCUCGCGCGUGUCCAGGCAGAAGGCGUACAGGGACUUCUUGAAGUCGCCGCUGCUGUUGGCCUUCAGGCUCUUCUCCCCGCCCUCCCCCCCCUCGCUCUUGUCCGCGGAGGCGCGCGAGCCCCGCCGCCGCGGCUCGGGGCUCGCGCGCCCGCUGGCGGGCUCGUCCUUCAGGGAGGACUGGUCCUGGUCCGUCUCGCGGUGGUAGAAGUAGUUGAAGUUGGAGACGAUGACCGGAACCGGCAGCGCGAUGGUCAGGACGCCGGCGAUGGCGCACAGAGAGCCCACGAUCUUCCCGCCCACCGUCACCGGCCGCAUGUCGCCGUAGCCCACCGUCGUCAUGGUAACCACGGCCCACCAGAAGGCGUCCGGGAUGCUGGAGAAGUGCGACUCGGGCUCGUCCGCCUCCGCGAAGUAGACGGCGCUGGAGAAGAGGAUGACUCCGAUGAAGAGGAAGAAGAUGAGCAGCCCCAGCUCGCGCAUGCUGGCCUUCAGCGUCUGGCCCAGGAUCUGGAGCCCCUUGGAGUGGCGGGAAAGCUUGAAGAUGCGGAAGACGCGCACGAGGCGGAUGACCCUGAGGAUGGCCAGAGACAUGGCCUGCUGGCCGUUCUGGUGCUCCUGGCCCUGCUGCUCCGCCAGCUCCGUGCCCACCGUGAUGAAGUAAGGCAUGAUGGACAUGAUGUCGAUGAUGUUCAUGAUCGUCUUGGAGAACUCCGACUUGCUCGGGCACGCGAAGAAGCGCACGAACAGCUCGAAGGUGAACCAGAUGACGCACGUGGUCUCGAUGAUGAAGAACGGGUCCGAGAAGGUCAGCGAGGGCCGCGGCGCCGUGCUGUUGUCCGCGCGCACGCUCACCGCCAGCUCGCGCUCGUCCCGGAACUCCGGCAGCGUCUCCAGGCAGAAGGUGAUGAUGGAGAUGGUGAUGACGAUGACGGACACGAUGGCGAUGCCGCGCGCGGGGCUGGAGCUCUCCGGGUACUCGAAGAUGAGCCAGACCUGCUUCUGGAACUCGUUCUGCGGCAGCGGCUUCUCCUCCUCCUUGAUGAAGCCCUCGUCCUCGCGGAAGCGCUCCAUGGCCUCCUCCCCCAGCUGGUAGAACCGGAUCUCGUCCGCGAACACGUCGAUGGACACGUUGACGGGUCUGCGGAUCUUGCCCCCGGACUGGUAGAAGUACAGGAUCCCGUCGAAGCUGGGCCGGUUCCGGUCGAAGAAGUACUCGUUCCGGAGCGGGUCGAAGUACUUGAUCCUCUUGGCCGGGUCUCCCAGCAGCGUGUCCGGGAACUGGUUCAGGGUGCCCAGCUGGGUCUCGUACCUCAGCCCGGCGAUGUUGAUGAGCACGCGCUCGUUGCUCUCCGCGUCCACGUCCAUGUCCAGCAGGUCGUCGUCGAACAGGGGCUGCGCGGCGUCCGGGGGCUCCCGCGGGUGUUCAGCUCCUUCCCGCGCUCCUCUCCCAGCGCGCUUUGGACGAAGCCCGGCUGCGGGACCUCCAGCGCGUUCCGGCAGCUCUCCUCAGCAUUCCCGCCACCGCCGCCGCCACCGCCGCCGCCGCCUUUAGCGCCGCCGUUUUCGAAGCUCACCAAGGCUAUCUCCAUGCCGCCGCCAUCCACGGUCACUGAGGCAGAAGCUGAGGGGGCGCGUGCAGCCCGAGCAUCCCGCGGGUCGGAGUCCGGACACAGCUGUGCGCGCGGAGCUGCGCUCGGGAUCACGGCUCCUCCGCGCGCGGGUGCAUGCGUGGUUCUCCGCCGCUCCGGAGCGCCGCAGGUGGGGGGGAAGUCAACAUCCAGACCGCGCGCGGAAGACACGGAGACCCGGAUUAGAGAGCAGCCGCGAGGAUCACUCCUGACGUCAGGAGUGAGGCUCGCGCGCUCAGCCGCCGCGGAAAACCGAAACGCGUCUGAGAGGAGAGAGAGAGAGAGAGAGAGAGAGAGAGAGCGGAGACGCGCUCCGUUUGUGGCACAGAGCGCGCGCGCGGAGGAAGCUUUUCUGUGCUGUCAGUCACCCCCCCCCCCCCACCCCCAACAAACAAAUAAAUACAUAAAAGGAAGUCUGCAGAGAUCCAGCGGAGGAACAUUUUGGACACAUUUUUACGCAGGACAGAGACGUCCUGGAGUCUUCAACCUGCGGCUCUUUGAUCUCCGUUCUGGUUCCACGUGAAAUCAGUCAUGGAGGCUGCUGACCCAGACAUGUCCACCGUGGAGUCAGCAGCUCCCCAGAACUGAAGAAAACCAAUAAACAAAGCCUGCAAACCAAGACUACCAACCCCAAACUAAAAUAACUAAACCCAGCAGGAUGAGACUGCUGAGGGAAAAAGAACAAUAAAGUUAUUUGAGCUUUUGUCAUGUUUUAAAUUUUAAAAAAUGAAUAAAUGAAUGAAAUAUCCAACCCUCCCAAAGACUAAAAUAAGAGAGUCCAAAUGUCUCUUUUACUGUGAAAGGUUGCCGACCGGAAGAGAACUCUGCAAUCCAUCAGAAGUUAAAAUCCCACUAAGAUCAGC
rnacentral:lncRNA from 1 species